rnacentral:lncRNA from 1 species
CUUCUUCUGACACUAAAAUAUCUAUGUCAGCACUUAAAUAUGCAGAAGUAUUUUUUAUUCUUCAAGUCCUUGGUACUAAAUAACUACUACUCACUCAGUUUCCCCUUCAUAGCUUACCGAGAAAGGAUCGUAGCAAAUCAUAGCUUUCAGUAGGUACAGAACAUAGAGAAACAUUUUUUAAUUGCAUAAUUAUACUAAGAUAGAAGUUACAAAUCUUGGACAUUGAUAGACAUUUACUCAUAUUAACUUGGCCUGUGUACUUAUAUAAGCAAAACAAGAUAAUACCUAUCAACACAUUUCAGGCAAAUUUCUACUUUAUCGAUAAAUCCAAAAUGUGAUCACCAUUAGUACCACCACUUCAAACCAUGUAAAGGGAUGAUUGCAAACUUAUGAUAUUUAGAUACUACUUUAGCCAAAGAUAUUAUAUUUGGUUUUAUAUUUUGAAUAGUGGUCUGUUGUAUCACAUGCUGAUCUGUCACCAGUCCAUAGAAAACCUUUGUGAAAUCUAGGAAAAGAUGUCCUUUCUGGAUGGAUAAAGUCCUGCAAAGUGCCUGACUUGACAAGGUGACACUCCUUCCUCCAUAUGGGGCAGGUAUAUCCCCAUGCCAGCCCCAGUUUAGUAAGUGGACCUCAGGCUGAAUUUCUGCUCCUAUUCUCCUGUCAAAACUGUAUGUGGUGCCCUGAAAGUUGGAAAUACUAAUGAAAGAUUCAAAAUAAAAUUAGUAUUCCCUACUAUAUUGUCUUAACAAAUUAAAAAAUAUGACUCUGCUAAGAAACAUUAUUUCAGUAUUUCAUAUGCAGACAUUUAAGUUGAUUCUCAAACAAACAUAUCAUUAAUUUUUUUCAGUCUGUCUCUGCACUUUGAAGAGAUAAUCUCCAGGGUACAAGCUGUCACAGGGCUGAGUCACUAAUGUAUUUUGACUUUACGCUAGGAGAAAUCACUUCACAUCUGGUAUUAAAGAGUGUUCGUUUCUUGCUUCUUGUGACAGUUCUUGGCAAAGUUUGUUAAACCAUAAUGUUUAUUUAAACAUGUUUUAAAAGAUGUGCCCAAAUUGCUUUUAUGUCCUUGUAGUUUAAUCAUAACAUUAUGUGCCACUGAAGAC